rnacentral:piRNA from 1 species
UUGAAGACCAGUUUUAGGCCGUGGUGGU